CCUGGAUCCGCUCCGCACCCCUGCGGAUGACUCCGGGCGAAUGUUGGCCGGAUGACAGCUGAGCGUUGACUAAACAGAUGCAGAGAGCAAAGCCAAAGCAAAGCAGCAGAGUCAGUCUAUGAGCACGCAUGGCCACAAUAUGGAAUAUUUGGACCUCUAUAUGGUGCACUUUCGAAACAACAACAAAAGGCGAAGCUAAAUGACGUGGAAUUAUGGGACAUGCCGUUUUCACCAUCUAGAGGCGUAUGGAGAUCGCCCAUCAUGUUCACGGACGAGUUUCUACAACCGGAAACUGAGGGUAGUGCAGAGCAGCGGAUAUCAAGUCACUGAUAUGCACCAAAUACAAAGGAGACAAGGGACGGCCAUUAUUUUAAAUAGGAAUUUCUCUGGAUUUGGACAUUCUUGGGAACAUUUGGGAUAGUG